UACGAAGGGUGCAAGCGUUAAUCGGAAUUACUGGGCGUAAAGCGUGCGUAGGCGGUGACUUAAGUCUGUUGUGAAAUCCCCGGGCUCAACCUGGGAAUGGCAAUGGAUACUGGGUCGCUAGAGUGUGAUAGAGGAUGGUGGAAUUCCCGGUGUAGCGGUGAAAUGCGUAGAGAUCGGGAGGAACAUCAGUGGCGAAGGCGGACAUCUGGAUCAACACAGACGAUGAGGCACGAAAGCGUGGGGAGCAAACAGG
rnacentral:rRNA from 1 species